UACAGAGGAGCCAAGCGUUGUCCGGAAUUAUUGGGCGUAAAGAGCUCGUAGGCGGUUUGUCGCGUCUGCUGUGAAAGACCGGGGCUCAACUCCGGUUCUGCAGUGGGUACGGGCAGACUAGAGUGCAGUAGGGGAGACUGGAAUUCCUGGUGUAGCGGUGAAAUGCGCAGAUAUCAGGAGGAACACCGGUGGCGAAGGCGGGUCUCUGGGCCGAUACUGACGCUGAGGAGCGAAAGCGUGGGGAGCGAACAGG
rnacentral:rRNA from 1 species